UGGUGGGUUGCCUUGUCAGGUUGAUUCCGGUAACGAACGAGACCUCAGCCUGCUAAAUAGUCACGACCUCCUCGGAGGCCGGCAGACUUCUUAGAGGGACUAUUGGCGACUAGCCAAUGGAAGCAUGAGGCAAUAACA
rnacentral:rRNA from 1 species